UACGAAGGGGGCUAGCGUUGCUCGGAAUCACUGGGCGUAAAGGGCGCGUAGGCGGAUCUUUAAGUCGGGGGUGAAAGCCCAGGGCUCAACCCUGGAAUUGCCUCCGAUACUGAAGAUCUCGAGACCGGAAGAGGUAAGUGGAACUGCGAGUGUAGAGGUGAAAUUCGUAGAUAUUCGCAAGAACACCAGUGGCGAAGGCGGCUUACUGGUCCGGUUCUGACGCUGAGGCGCGAAAGCGUGGGGAGCAAACAGG
rnacentral:rRNA from 1 species